rnacentral:rRNA from 1 species
UACGUAGGUGGCAAGCGUUGUCCGGAUUUACUGGGCGUAAAGAGCGCGCAGGCGGUCGUUCAAGUCGCGUGUGAAAGCCCCCGGCUCAACUGGGGAGGGUCACGCGAUACUGAUCGACUCGAAGGCAGGAGAGGGUAGUGGAAUUCCCGGUGUAGUGGUGAAAUGCGUAGAUAUCGGGAGGAACACCAGUGGCGAAGGCGACUACCUGGCCUGUUCUUGACGCUGAGGCGCGAAAGCUAGGGGAGCAAACGG